GUGCCACAGUUCAUGGGGUCGCAAAGAGUUGGACGUGACUGAGCGACUGAACUGAAUAAAUGUUAGUGGCUGUACUAGACUCUGAAAAUGUCCAUUUCAGUAAAACCAAUUUCAUGAUCUCGAUGAAGCACAGCUGAGUUGAGGACACAGUCUGGAUCAGGCUUGAAGAGAUCACUUUGUAAACACCAUUGCCAGUCUUCACAGCCACCUAGCAAGGUGAGUAUUAUCCUCAUUCCAAAGAUAAGAAAGUGAGAUCAGAGAGAACGAUAACUCACUUGAGGUUACACAGUUCAGAAAAUCUUUAUUCCAAAUCCUUCAUACCCAGAGGCCCAUAUUUUACAAUACACCAUUCUGCCUCCCUAAGGGAAGAAGCUAUUUCUAAUAAGCCCCAAAGAAAUGCACUGUUUCUGAAAUAUGAGGUAUGUAUUUUAAAAUACUGAAUUUGGUCAGUUUAAUCAAAGUACUCCACUUUCUAAAGGGAAGCAAGAAAAUACGAAAGAUGGUUCCUGCCUAUUUGGGCUUCAUGUAAUGUUUACAUGUCUUUUUUUAAAGCCCUGAAUGGAAGGUUUUCAUCUAACUCCCUAUCUGUUCCAAAACUCUCUUUAUUACCUCCUAGUUCACUUCUAGUGAAAUGAGAUAAUGACAUUCACUCCAAUCAACGUGUCAUCAGGUCAGCCUCACCUCGAAGUUUAUUGGAAAUGCCACCCCAGACCUACUGAAUUGGAAGCUACAGUGUCAUAAAAUAUCCCAGGUAAGUGACUUCAGUGUCAAAGAAAAAUCAGAAGUAUUUGAAAAAGAAGCAGAGAAGCCAGGUGCAGAGGAAAGGACACAGACAUUUUGGUGGCUCCCUUCAGAGGGAUGCCACUCCAG
rnacentral:lncRNA from 1 species